GGGAAAAGCAUGUAGUGUAGUGGUAGAGCUCUUGCUUUGCAUGCAGAAGGUCCUAAGUUUGAUCCCUGGCAUUCUCA